GAAAAUAUGCUAGCUCAUAGCACACAAACUGUUGGAGGGCAUGAGUGCCUGGGAAAUGCUCGAGUAUGGGGGCACACCACCGGAAAAGGGUCUCUCACACUCCCCCGACUGACCUCUCCUUCCAAAGUGUGGAUUCGGAGAA